AUGGAACCAAGUCAGCCCGAGCUCGAGGAGUUCUCAGCUGCCACCGCGGGCGAGGUGCUGAAACCAGUGGAGGCCCCAUCCGAUGGUGAAGGAUGCCCCAUAUGCUUGGGUCAAGAGGAGGCCACGGAGACCACUUGGAUGAAGACAGCGUGCGGACACAUCUUUCAUGGGCGGUGCGUGGAGAGGUGGCUCAAGAUGAAGGGAAGUUGCCCCGUGUGCCGGCGCCAGCUUUCGAUACCGCAUGUUGGUGCAAAACAAGAUGUUCCAUUUAUACAUCCCUUUGACUUGAGGACGAUAGAGUCAAUGCGGAGGUUUCCUCACAUAUUCCCAGAUCCAGAUGGAUAUUUCUCAAUGUAUACGCAGGAUAUGUUUGAAGGCCAUUGA
rnacentral:rRNA from 1 species